rnacentral:rRNA from 1 species
UACGUAGGGCGCAAGCGUUGUCCGGAAUUAUUGGGCGUAAAGAGCUCGUAGGCGGCUUGUCACGUCGGUUGUGAAAGCCCGGGGCUUAACCCCGGGUCUGCAGUCGAUACGGGCAGGCUAGAGUGUGGUAGGGGAGAUCGGAAUUCCUGGUGUAGCGGUGAAAUGCGCAGAUAUCAGGAGGAACACCGGUGGCGAAGGCGCCACUCUGGGCCGAGACUGACGCUGAGGAGCGAAAGCAUGGGUAGCAAACAGG